rnacentral:rRNA from 1 species
UUUUUUGAAACAUUUUCGGUUGUUUUGGAAGAUGAGGAGGGAAUUGUUAGAGCGGACAUUCUCUUUAGAAGAGCAAAAUUCAAAUAUAGCAUUGAACAAGUAGGCGUAACGGUCUUCGACUGUGAGAUGCAAACUAUGGACGGCGGCUUGAUGUAG